rnacentral:sRNA from 1 species
AUAUACCAUGGAUAAAUUUCGGUUCCUCCACGCCGUCCGCACCCACCUGGCAACUGCUCGCUACGUUUUAUCAGCU